GACUUCUCCCGCUUAUGUUUUCUUGCUCCAGGAACUAGCCGCAUGGGCUCCAUGAGUCAGCCUUGCUGCUGGCACCCAGAGGCGCAGGGGACGCUCAGACGACAGAUGGCCCCACGAAGACCCAAACCGACCGUUUUCAACUCCAAUGCCGGC
rnacentral:lncRNA from 1 species